GGAGGUGUGCCCGAGCGGCCGAAGGGAACGGUCUUGAAAACCGUCGAGGCAGCGAUGUCUCCGUGGGUUCAAAUCCCACCGCCUCCG
rnacentral:tRNA from 9 species